GUGUAAACUCAAUCACUAGCUCUGCACAAUAUAGCAGGAGCUAAGGGAACCAGGUUUGCUAGAGUAAUUGUGGUGAUGCGAAUGUAUUUGCUUCAGAAGCUACUGAAGUGGCUCCUCCCAUCCUUGAACAGAG